AUGAUUUUGUGGCCGAUAAUAACCUAAGACAACACAAUCAGAAGGACAACUUCGGCCACCCAUUUAUUUUUUGUUUGCUAUGCUGUCGACGAUUUUCGGCCACAAUAACAUAUGAGUCAUGACCUCUGAGUAUGUAUAGACCGGGGAAUUCCAAAAAAUUGACAUGUUAAAACGACGUCAAAACUUGCAUGUGACCUGGAGAUUCUUAUAAAUAUUUUUAAAAAUGGCCACCGUGUGAUACGGGAGGGAUAAAUAUUAUUUUUUACCUAAAAUUCUAGCUGCAACAC
rnacentral:lncRNA from 1 species